rnacentral:rRNA from 1 species
AGCAAACGCUGGCGGCGUGCCUAAUACAUGCAAGUCGAACGGGGAAAGUAGCAAUACGAGUACUAGUGGCGCACGGGUGAGGAACACGUGGGUAAUCUGCCUUCGAGCGGGGGAUAACUAGUCGAAAGAUUAGCUAAUACCGCAUAAGACCACAAUGUCUGAGGACAAAGGGGUCAAAGUCGCAAGACACUUGAAGAUGAGCCCGCGUAAGAUUAGCUAGUUGGUGAGGUAAUGGCUCACCAAGGCGAUGAUCUUUAGCUGGUCUGAGAGGAUGAUCAGCCACACUGGAACUGAGACACGGUCCAGACUCCUACGGGAGGCAGCAGUAGGGAAUAUUGCGCAAUGGGGGAAACCCUGACGCAGCGACGCCGCGUGAGUGAUGAAGGCCUUCGGGUCGUAAAGCUCUUUUGUGCGGGAAGAUAAUGACGGUACCGCAAGAAUAAGCCCCGGCUAACUUCGUGCCAGCCGCCGCCGUAA